CACGUGCUACAAUGGCGCAUACAAAGAGAAGCGACCUCGCGAGAGCAAGCGGAUCUCAUAAAGUGCGUCGUAGUCCGGAUUGGAGUCUGCAACUCGACUCCAUGAAGUCGGAAUCGCUAGUAAUCGUGGAUCAGAAUGCCACGGUGAAUACGUUCCCGGGCCUUGUACACACCGCCCGUCACACCAUGGGAGUGGGUUGCAAAAGAAGUAGGUAGCUUAACCUUCGGGAGGGCGCUUACCACUUUGUGAUUCAUGACUGGGGUGAAGUCGUAACAAGGUAACCGUAGGGGAACCUGCGGUUGGAUCACCUCCUUACCUUAAAGAAGC
rnacentral:rRNA from 1 species